AAUGAAGUGCCUGAGAUUAAAAGGAUUAUUUUGAUAGAAUAAAAAAUGUAAAAAAAAUUGCCUUCAUUU
rnacentral:tRNA from 1 species